rnacentral:rRNA from 1 species
AGACAACCAGGAGGUUGGCUUAGAAGCAGCCAUCCUUUAAAGAAAGCGUAAUAGCUCACUGGUCAAGCGAGUCUGCGCCGAUAAUUCAACGGGGCUAAAGUUCGACACCGAAGCCACGGAUUCUCGAAAGAGAGUGGUAGGCGAGCGUUCUCACGGAGAUACAAGGUAGACCGUAAGGACUACUGUCGGCCGUGAGAAGUGAAUAUGCAGGCAUGAGUAGCGAUAAACCGGGCGAGAAACCCGGUCGCCGUAAGCCCAAGGUUUCCUGGGGAAGGAUAAUCCUCCCAUGGGUUAGUCGAUACCUAAGCCGAGGCCGAGAGGCGUAGGCGAUGGAAAGCAGGUUAAUAUUCCUGCACCGCCAGGGAUGGCGUAGAUGUAAGCGGGGACGGAGAAGGGUAGCCCAGCACGGCGGUUGGUCGUCCGUGUUCAAGCAAGUAGGCUGAGUCGUCAGGACCCGAUAGGGACAAACGGCGAUUCAAGGCCGAGACGUGAUGAGGUCCGGUCCUAGACCGGGAUACUGGGUAAUCCCACGCUUCCAAGAAAAGCCGCGUACGGAGCUGCUCUGGUGAUCGUACUACAAACCGACUCAGGUGGGCGGGGUGAGUAUCCCAAGGCGCGUGAGAGAACCCUGGUUAAGGAACUCGGCAAAUUGGCACCGUAACUUCGGGAGAAGGUGUGCCGCUGAUGGUGAGAAGGCUUGCCCUUCGAGCUGUUGGUGGUCGCAGUGAAAUGGCGGUUGUGACUGUUUACUAAAAACACAGGACUCUGCGAAGUCGUAAGACGACGUAUAGGGUCUGAUGCCUGCCCGGUGCUGGAAGGUUAAGGGGAUAUGUCAGCGCAAGCGAAGCAUUGAACCGAAGCCCCAGUAAACGGCGGCCGUAACUAUAACGGUCCUAAGGUAGCGAAAUUCCUUGUCGGGUAAGUUCCGACCUGCACGAAUGGCAUAACAACAUCCGCACUGUCUCGACCAGGGACUCAGCGAAAUUGCACUGGGGGUGAAGAUGCCCUCUACCCGCGGCAAGACGGAAAGACCCCAUGAACCUUCACUGCAACUUGGCAGUGGUUUUCGGUUCGUUCUGCGUAGGAUAGGUGGGAGGCUUUGAAGCCGGGCUUCCGGGUUCGGCAGAGCCAACGUUGAAAUACCACCCUGAAUGUACUGGAAACCUAACCUGCGCCCGUGAUCCGGGCGGGGAACAAUGUCUGGUGGGCAGUUUGACUGGGGCGGUCGCCUCCAAAAAAGUAACGGAGGCGCGCGAAGGUUCCCUCAGGCUGAUUGGAAACCAGCCGUAGAGUGUAAUGGCACAAGGGAGCUUGACUGCGAGACUGACAGGUCGAGCAGGUGCGAAAGCAGGUCAUAGUGAUCCGGUGGUACCGAAUGGAAGGGCCAUCGCUCAUCGGAUAAAAGGUACUCUGGGGAUAACAGGCUGAUCGCGCCUGAGAGUUCACAUCGGCGGCGCGGUUUGGCACCUCGAUGUCGGCUCAUCGCAUCCUGGGGCUGGAGCAGGUCCCAAG